AUUCUGUGUGGAAGUCUGACAAAACAUCAUGAUGACUGAAAUCACCCACAAGAGAUUGCCAGGAUUGGAGCCUGUCCUGCUCAGGGCCCAUGUGGCUGCAGCUCAGAGCACAGGACAGGGCAGAGAAAAACUCUCCCACCCCCAUCUGCCUUCUGCAGUUUCUGUCAUCUCCUGGGAAUCCAGCUCUGCAGCACAAAGUGAGUGUGAAGAUGGACAGGUGGUGUUGGCAUUUCUCUUCCAGUUUCUGUAGCAAUUACAGCAUUGUGUCAUCAAAUCUGCAUACAAAGUAGAUUAAAAGCACCACUUGAUUUCAGUGUGUGGUUCCUAGGACCUCUUCUUAGUUGGUGGUUAUCCUAGGGUUAUGCAUCCUUUGUAUGCUCAAAGAACAGUGCCUGCACACCUCAGUUACAGCCAUCUGAGGCUGUCUGCAAACCAAAUCCUGCAUUACUGAGUUGGCACCAAGAUGAGGGAUAUGAAAUUAGAGACUAACAUUAAGCACUCCUUUCCUAGAACAGUCCAGCAGAAGCAGAGCAGACUGCAGUUCUCCAGGGAUAGCAUCCUAUUAUCCUAAUUGUAAAACAAUCCUGUUUCUUCAUGCAGUUCCCUGUAUCAUCCACUAUUCAUUUCCCAAUAUCAGGAACAAUGACAAGGGUCUGACAGGCAGCAGAUCCUUUUGGUUCAGAAACUGAUUCAUACUCACAGCACAACUGAAAGAGCAUGAGCUCUACCUCCUACGCUGUUGCACAAACAGCAGAAGAUACUCCCUGGUGUGUUUUGAAAUGGAAGUGAUCAUGUAUUCUGCUGUCUUAGAUGAGAAGAAGACAUGGAGGUUCUCAGCUCAGCAGGAUGGCUGCAUCUCUGGACAAAUGUUUCUGUAGAAGUUUAGAUACCAGUGAUGCUCAGGUGCCCAUAAGCUCAAGACAUGUAACAAGGCUUUAUUCCAUACUUCUCUUGGUCUGAGGCAUCACAAACUUGCCUAUGUUUUGCUCCAGGCACAUAGAGAUUUCUUCUUGAAAGAAACUCAUUGAGGUGGUUCUGCCUUCCUGAGAGUGAGACUGAGUCCUCUCUGCCACCAUAAACAAAACCAAGCCAUUCUGGCCUGCACCGCAGCAAGUCCUUCCUCUGAAAUUUUGCUCUUGUCCUCUACCACAUGCCAAAGGUCAGUGUUAGAUGCCCAGUCUGGUGUGACUGUCUUUUGAUGACAGCGGUGAAGGUAGCAGCUCUUUCCACAUUUCCCACCACCAGAUGUAGAAAGGUCUCUAAAUGAGACAUAAAGGUUCACUCACCUUCAGACAUUCUCUAGGACCAAGGGCCCAGAAAGGCUUUUUUCACUGAAAGGAUGAACCUGAAAGAACGUCAUGGGAGUGGAAAGUGAUUGCAAAGGCAGAGGCUCCGUCUCUGUAAGGGUUUCCCAGCAUCAAAAGCUUGGGAAAAACUAGGCCCUCUCAGUGCUGGAGGUUGGACUGCAGCCUUUGUGUCCUUGAUCUUUACAGAGAGGAAGGAAAAGCAAUUUUCAGAUCAGAAUUUGUGAAGUUUCUCCCCCUUUCCAGAUCUAUAGGAAAGAUUACCACAUCUCACACAAAGAAGUAACAUAUUGCUAGAUUUUAUCUUGUGGUUGAUAGGCAAAAUUAUUCAUGAAGUUGAAUGAUUAUUACAGUAUGGAGACUAGCAGGUUUGUAGCUGUAAAACAUUUGUAAGUGAGAGCUAAAGGAGGACUUGAGCUUGCAAUAUGAAAUUGUUUCGGUGGUCUCUAUGUUCUCAGGUCCCCCUAGAUGUGUUCUGUACUUGCAAUCAUAGUUUUAUCCCACAGCAGUAGAAAAGAAAAAAGGAAAGAUGAAGUAGAAAAUAAGCAAGUGGGAAGAUUAUAUUUGCAGAGAAGAGACUGUAAAAAGAAAAAAGCCAAAUUAUCCUUCCUUUCAACUGUUGCUUCUUCAAAGACAGUGCUUUCAACUGUACAGGUAAAACACUAAUAAACAGUUUUGAAAUUUGGUAGUUGCCAAUAUCCCUUGAAGCUCUUUUCCACUAAUUCCAAAGUUAAUAAAUAAAUUAAAGACACUUAUUUAUCAUUAGCUGACAUUUGCAUAAGCUCAUUUCUCCUGAACAGGCCGUAGCUCCAUAACAAAUGGCUCCAGCAUGGCUACACUCAGAGCUGCAAGAGCCUUCAAAACCAGCCGGCAGCGGCAGGCAGUUCUGUCACUGUGCUGGAGGCAGUUUAUGGUGGGUCUCAGCCCUCUGAUCCCUUCCUUGGUGUGGCACAGAGCAUGGCACCACCACUGGCACUGGAGGGCGUCUCCCUUCUACCCACCUGGCGGUCAUGCUCAUCAUCAAAAUAUUCUUCAGAAGCCACUCACAUCCUCCAAACACCAAACUUCUAAUUUGCAAAAAUAAAAAUUAAAAUAGGAAAUGAAAUACCAGUGGAAUUUACCCUUUUGCAAAGAAAACAAAGUCUUGUAGAAAGUGGGAGCUAAAUGGGACUUGGCUAACACAGGGCCCUUCAGCAGAUUGCAAUGUGUAAUUACAUGCACAGCAUUUUACUCGUGGUGCAAUGAACCAUUGCAGCCUGAGCACACCGCUGAAUUAAACGUGCUGGGCAGCUUUCAGCGGUGAGGAGUCUGGUUCUCAUGCUCAGAAACAGAAAGAAAUGUUUCCCUUUCCUUGCUGCUGUAAUAGGUUUUCCCUACUCACGGAACCAAGAGAAGAGCUGUUACGCAAAAGUUAUGAGCAAAUACUGACCACUUCCUCUUUGAAUUCCUGUUGCCCUUUUUCCCAUCUGCUGUAUUCCUUUUUUCAUAACUGCUUCUGGUAGCAUACAUGCUUGUCUUAACAAGAGGGCAAAUAUCAGAAAAGAAACUGCCCAAGUCAAGGUUCACUUCUAUACUAACAGUGUUUCAGAGUUGUGCUGAGAUAGGCAGGGAGGUCUGGCACUGCAGGACGUGGAGCCUUGAAAUGCAGGAUAUGAGGAUCCCUGCUGAGCAGUUCGAACUAUUGCCUGACACAUCAGAUGCUGCUGAUCAGCAAAUCAAAGGAACAGCCAAUUUUGUCUCUGACUUGCCGAGAUACAGGAGAAAGAUACAGGAAAGGUGCAAGCUUGUGGCUUCACUGCAAAAGUCUGCGAUGGGGAAGGUUCACAUGCAUGGGAUAAAAAUGGAUGGGUCUGUGACAAUAAGACAAGGAUGCAGCACUGCUUGCCACGUGGAGAUUUGCAUCUGUAUUUGCUGCUCUGGAAAACAUGAGAUAUGAAGGAACAACUCUGGCAAAUAAGAGAUUUCCAAUCUGCCAAUUCCCAUCUCUGCCAAGGGCAGCAGUGUUCACUUUUGCCCAGGCAGUGACGAUUACAAACCAGCCACGGCACAGAGGAAUCAAAACUGGCACCAGAGAGUCUCAGAAGCACCCCUUCCCCACAGGCCUGUGGCUCCUGUAGGAAGAAAGCCUGAACGUGUAAGCAGGCUGAGGCACAAAGCCCUGGGAUGCCUUGAGAGCAGCCCUGGGGAAGUGCUGAGCUCACACCUCUGCAGCUGUGCAGGUGGAACUGCAUGAGAGCCCACACUGGCCGCGUUGGGCAGUGGCCAGGCUAUGAUUUCCUCUCCUGUGGCAUCACCCUCAGCAGUACUAGUGGGCCAAGUGUGCAACAGAGGCAUGGCUCUCCUAAGAAAAGAUUUCCUAACUUGAUUGGUGUGGUGUUUGCCUCCUGAUGAGCUGCCCCUCCUCUCGCUGACGGAAGCAGUAGGCUGUAUUCUUGCAGCUGUUCUUACAGCAGUUCCAGCACAGAACAUGGAAAAAACCUCAAAUGCAAAAGGAUGCCGAACCUGUGAAAAAAGAAGACUGUGAGCUGCUGCCAUCAGGCUGCCUGCUGCUGUAAAACCCGAUUUGAAACCUUCCUCUGCACUGCCAGCAGGCAGCUAGAGGAAUGAAGCAGCCACUGGCCUAAGCAAGGACCAGGCUGCAAAAGGAUUUUAGGUGCAUACAUGCAGGCAGACAUCCCUCAGGACUUCUAAAAGCCCCCAAGAAUUAAGGAUGGAUUUUGUUAAGCUGUUCAACACCACUAGGAUUGCAGCUUUGAGCCAGAAGGCAGAUACAGUACUACAGGAACUGAGGUGCAAAAGAUGAACAUUUAAAAUGUACUCACUGUGAUCCCAGAAACAGCAAGGGAAGUGUCAAGUCAGUAAGGGAUGAGGAAUCCCAGGCAGCAAAGGAAUCUGCAGGGUGUCAGUGGGAUGCUGCGGCCUCUGGCAGGAACAAGCAGGUUGCACACAUUCCCACUCUGCCCUUAGCAUUUGCUGUUUGCUUAUUAUAAACAUAGUUAAAUCAAAAGUGUAAUUCAGGAGAGCAGAAGUUGGUCUGCUGCAAGCAAGAAUUACAGCUUGUUGCCUGUGACCUUUCUGCACUCCUGAGCUACUUCCCGGGUUUACUUGCAAGUUUUGGGAGCCCAUCCACAAUAGUUCUGUCCAAGGAUUAUUUAUCUCACUCCUUAACGGGUGUUCACAGGAACAUUGCACCUGUGGGGCAUCUUGUGCACUUUUUAACUAGAUAAGUAAGAGUAAGCAUUUUUACUUCACAGUUGACAAUUUGAGUUAAGCAUCACAGUUACAGAGAUAUUUAAAAAAUGAUAUAUCAUACACUCCCCCAGAUCCGAAUCUUUUAUUUAUUUAUUUGUUUAUUGUUUCUAUGGGGUUUAGUUGCGUGGAUUUGUGGUGUCUGUCUGCUGGAUCACCGUUUGAGGUGCCAGGUCUAUCCAUCGACUCUAGAGGGAAGCAAAGACAAGCCAGCUUCUAAGUCACACCCCUCUCUUAGAUGCCUAUAUUAGGUGGGAUGGGUGCAGGCCUUACUGUAAGCCAUAUGCUUCAAGUGCCCUUUCUGUUUAAAGGACACAGCAAUUCUGCCCUCCCUGGUGUGCCCUUGAUUAAAUUUUGUGCAACAUAACAAGGGAUGAAAAUUCUAGAAGUAUUUACAACACUCAUGGACAAGAGCAGAAAAGCAGGUUGAUAUGAAAUAUGGCGUUUGCUUAUUCAUACAUGUGUUGAAUCUUCUAAAAUGAUUGGUCCCUUCCUAUGUUCUGUUCUUUCUGUAGCGCUUUUUGAGAGCAAGCUCCAUCUCAGUUCUCUUGCAGAGAGAGGCUUGGCAGAGAGACCUGGGCAAAUAGGAUGGCAGAGCAGCCACCAACCUCUUAAAUUAAGCAAGAGCAAGAGCCAGAUUGUGCACCUGGACAGGGCAGCCUCAGAUUACAUGCAUGGACUGGAGGAUAAGAAGCUGGAAGGCAGCCCUGAGGAAUGGGGGCUCUGGUUGAUGGCAAGGUGAAUGUGAGCCAGCAGUGUGCCCUGGCAGCCAAAGGGCCAACCGUGCCCUGGGUGCACCAGGCCCAGCACUGCCAGUGGGAGAGGGAGGGGUUGUCUGCUCUGCUCUGUGCGGCCUCAGCUCCAGCACUGGGUGCAGUUUGGCCCAGCAAUAUAAGGACAUAAAACUAUUAGAAAGCAUCCAAAGGAGAUGGUGAAGGGUCUGGAGGACAAGAUGUGGGAGGAACAGCUGAGGUGCCUGGGUGUGCUGAGCCCAGGGCAGAGGAGCUGAGGGGAGGCCUCAUGGCGGCUGCAGCUCCUCACAGGGAGCGGAGGGACAGCACUGAGCUCUGCUCUGUGUGACAGCGACAGGGCCCGAGGGAACGGCAUGGAGCUGUGUCAGGGGAGGGGCAGCUGGGGGUCAGGGAGUGGUUCUGCACCAGGGGGCGGUGGGCACGCAACAGCCUGCCCAGGGCAGUGGGCACAGCCCCGAGUGUCGGAGUUCAGGGAGUGUUUGGACACCGCCCUCAAACAUUGCAUUUGAGUUUGGGUGGUGCUGUGGGGAGCCGGGGGCUGCACUCAGUGAUCCUUGUGGGUCCCUCCAACUUGGGAUAUUCUCUGAUUCUGAUUCAGUUGUUUGAAAUUGCAAAUCUCAAAAAACAAACAAACAAACAAACAAACAAAAAGCCAAAAACAUACAAGCAAGAG
ensembl:lncRNA